rnacentral:rRNA from 1 species
GUGGAGCGUGAGGAGUUAAACACCCUUGUGCCUGCGUAUUCGUGCGCUUUGGGUGUAUUUGCCCGCAUGGUUGGUUAACAUCAAUUUCGGAUGUCAUAAAAUGGUUGGAGGAAUGUAGCUUCGAUCUCGUAUUGAAGUGUUAUAGCCUUCGGCAGAUGUGAUGACCGGGAUUGAGGAUUGCAACGGAUACCCUUCGGGGCUACCCGUCUGAUCUCUGAUUGUUGCUCUGGUGCCGAAAGCUUGCUUACGGUUAUCAAAGUUGACGGUCAACAGGUUAGAACGGGUUAAA